GACAGAGGGUGCAAACGUUGUUCGGAAUUACUGGGCGUAAAGGGCGCGUAGGCGGCCCGCUAAGUCGAACGUGAAAUCCCCGGGCUCAACCCGGGAACUGCGUCCGAUACUGGCAGGCUUGAAUCCGGGAGAGGGAUGCGGAAUUCCAGGUGUAGCGGUGAAAUGCGUAGAUAUCUGGAGGAACACCGGUGGCGAAGGCGGUGGUCUGGGCCUGAACUGACGCUGAGGAGCGAAAGCCAGGGGAGCAAACGGG
rnacentral:rRNA from 1 species